GUGAAAUCCAUAGAUUAGGGCCUAAUGAAUUUUAUUUCAAUUGACUGAUUUCCUCACAGGAACUGUAACUCCGUAAAAUCAAUGAAAUUGAUGGCUGGCUGGGGCUGUGUCCUACUCAUGGAGCAUUAUGUAGAUUUUUUUGCAUUAUAAUGUCCAUAAUAUCUGCAUUAAUAGUGGAAUGAUAGUGUUACACUAUUAUUAUAAAUAAAUGAUGCUUUGGGCCCUUACAAAAUUGAGUUCAUAUUUUCAGUUUCCCCAUCGGUCAACAAAAGUCUCUUGUUAUCGAAUUGGAAGGCUGCAGGCUCCCUCUUUGAGCAGCGUCACUCGGUGGCCCUAAAAGGGCUGAAGUCUGAUGCAGAGAUGGCCUGUUUUCUGCUCGACAGGUAACAUUACCAAGACGUUGCGCCAGCUAGUGUUAUCUGUGAUGUUUGUGAAUGGAAUGUAGAACCAGUCAGGAUAUUGACAUAAGCAUGUGAUUUUGAGCAUAAUGAUCAUCUAGAACCUACUUGUAUUAUGCAUUGGCGGCUAGCUAACGUUUCAUGUGCAUUCCUCUGUUUGAGAGUGAUAGAACUGUAGUGGUGCUCGGCUGUAACCUUAGCAGUUGCAAUGGUGCUUGGCAGUAUAGUUGCCUCGCCUUUUUGAGACUUCCAAGUGACUAACAUUCUUACAGAACAUUACUGAAACAAUGUUAGCUAGCGAACAUUAUGUAGCUUGGUAGAGAGUUGACAAACAAGCUCACUUGUUAGGUUUUGUGACAUACAUUAGCAAGCUAGCUAGAUAUAAUAAUGGGACAUGCGCAAAAUAAAAUGUAAUUAAUCAACUUCUAGUUAUGAAAAGGCCCCACCAUAAUCCACUCCAAGGAAAGUGUUACCUCUGCCUGCUUUAUCAAGCAUUGGAGCACCACACUGUCAUCAGAUAGGUGAGAACACAUGCUUAAUUUCAAUAGGAGAAUAGAUAGAUACCUUUUUUCCUAUUCCAUUCAAUGAUGGCUAUUGAGUAGUGCUCUUUCUUGUGUGUGCAUCAUUUAUGGUUGGUUUUUGUGUCCCUCUGUUUGUGCCGGCCUUCUUUGAGCAGGCUAUGUGGGGGUGUAUCUCUCUGGUACUGUCAUGUCUCUCUCUCUCCAGUAUUCAAAAUGUUUGCCAUGGAGCACCAUGGAGGCAACAGAAGGCAAAAACAGGCUACAUUAACUUUUCUUUUGCUCCUUCUGUUGCCUCCAUGGUGCUCCCACCUAGCUCAACCUCUCCAGGCUAUUUCAGAAGCUUAUCCCUCCUUUAGAAAAAGACAGUAGGUUAUACUCCAAGCAUAUAGUAUAUUCAUUACUGCGAAACAUUUUGAAUACUGGGAGACUAACUAUUCCCAGUCAUAUUCCCGGAAGUCUCAGUCCACAGUGAAGCAGGAUACUGACAGGUGACUUUUUGUUGGCCACAAACACUUUGCUUUCUGGGAAUAUUUACCUUUUCUAAUUCAUGAACAUGGUUUCCAGUGGCACCCUUUCAAUAUUAAAGACUCGUACUGUGUGGAUUCAAUAAAUUUGUUCUGGAUGGGCUGUGAUCAUUGACCGUCUGCAAAUGAAAGACAUUGUGGUAGCUCUAGGUAAGACUUAAUUGUUUGUGUGCUUACAGUACACCACAAGUAUUUAACACGGAUGUCCUGCUUUUUUAUUUAUUACUUAAUGUCUCUUACAAUUUCAGCUGAUGGCCGCAUGGACUGGCCAGGCUACUGUGCACAGUAUUGCACCUCCACUACAUUGGAGAAUGAUUCCAUAGACAUCUCCAUAGUGAACAUUGACAAGAGGGAGACCCAGAGAAACUCUGUCAUCGUGGAGCGAGGCAUUCAUAAGGGCCAUGGAUCAGCUGAUUAUGGAGAUUCCGCCAAAAUAAAUCUGCUCAGAUUCACAUGUACAGAUUUCUGCUCUAAUGAUGAAAGGAAAAUAUAAAGACAGCUGAAUACACCAGUAUCUCCAUAUGUGGCAUGGAGCCAAGAACCUGGGCAAGAAAAUCUAUGCAACAGCACAGAUUAAAGGUACAUUCCGGACCUUCAAUGCAAGAUUUUGAGGAAGCGAUUGGAAUCUGGUGGCGGGGAUGCCAAGGAGAAGAACCCUAAGGCCCGAAGACCCUACCCCCCCUAUUCAUCCACCCAACAACUGAGGAACUUGUGCAAUCACAAGUGAGAAGAGGCCUAGGGUUGGGUGAACCUCGAGACCAUGCAGGAGUACCAGAGACCACCUCCUCCAACCCUGUGAGAAACCCAGAUUGACAGUGAAGGCCCUGAUGGACCAAGACCCCUGCUGUUGGACCUCUCUAAAGACACCUAUGAAGCCUCCACUAUCAAGCAACUAACAGGAGACCUCCCUGCCUUCCUCCCAGUCCCGACCCCAAAACUGAACUUUCUCCAUGUACCAGGCCACACACAGAGACUGAUGACAGGAACACACACAUGGACAGCUUAAACUCUAUGGCUGACUGGCAUAGUGAAGGAAUGGGAUGAAAUUAGGAUUGAUAUUGAUAUCCUUAGGCUGUGCAGAGGGCCUACAGUGCCAGACCAUUUUCUUAGGUUUACUUUGCUCUGUAAACAUGGCCUUACUUUUGAGAGUAUUUUACUUCAUUAAAAAGGCCCACCCUCGUCACAUGAUCACCCAUUCAAUUUGCCAAGCAGCUCCUAAAAGGCUUUUUGAAAAAAGGGACAUCACAUGUCCCAACUUGCAAACGAAUCAUUGGUUUAGAAGAGAAAAUAAGAGUGACAACGUGAUUCUAGCCUUUUGAAACACACAGAGCAGACCAUCCCCCUCCCCAAACCCCUUGCUGCACACUAUUUUGAUUUAGAUUGUGAUCGGUGGGGUACACGUGAGGUCAUUUGAAUGGGGUGAUCAUGUGGGCCUUUAGUUCAGAUUAAGUCUAUAGAGGUCUUUAAACAGCUAAAUCCAUUGAUCCACCUAUGCUGCUACGUCUUACCCGGACCACCUGUCAGCCAUAGAUCUAUUAACAGAUAUUGUUGGCCUCUUUACCCUCUAAUCCUCCCAUCCCUGUGUUCUUGGGGCUCUACCUGCCUCUAGGGGUAUAUAUUAUGUCUGGGCUGGAACACCAAUAAUUUAUUUCUUGUUAGGUGACAAUUGCCACAAGGUUCUGGAUCAUAGGUGUUUUUGAUCUGGUUAUAAUCAGGUUUCUGUUUUAGCCUUUUAUCAGUUGACCAUUUUUCUUGGUAGCUAAGCGUUAUCUUGCGCUUGAUCAUGUUCACGUUGUAUCUUAAGUCCUUAAAGCUGGAAUCGGCAAGUCGUCUGCGAUCCCCAGGACGCACCUCUUCCUUUGUUAUUUCAUUUUGAACGAAACCUAACACUUACCUCUUUCUCGCCUCUCUUUUCGGGUCGAGUUGAUAUAGAUCCAAUACUAAUGAUGAUGCUUGUUCAGUAGAACAUUAAAAAAUACAACGUUCUCCCUGCAACCACAACUGUUUAUCUACGACUAUCUAGCAGCUGACUGCUCUGCUGUUUACAUUCUAACUCUCUCACGUAUGUUCAUGCAGGAAGUAGUUGUGUAUUAUAUCCCAAUUGAAAACUCCUCUGGAAUAUCGGUACAGUCACCUAAUAAUUGCAUGCCUCUCUCUUAUUGCACUGGACAUCCCAUGUCUCAUUGAAUAGCAAGGCUUGGAGUAAGUAUCAUUUACCUGCAUAGACCUGGCACAAGUAAUUGGCAUUAACUGUUGUUUUGAGGGUGACAUUUGAACCGUAUUAUUAUUAUCAAUGGUAACCAAUUUUCAAUAUAGACAAACGUCUAAAAUGUGUACAUUUUUACCUUUGAAACUUUAAUUCCGGAAUAAUAAACUAAUGUGGAAGUAUUAUUUA